rnacentral:rRNA from 1 species
GAUGAACGCUGGCGGCGUGCCUAACACAUGCAAGUCGAACGGAGAUUACGGACGGAAGUUUUCGGAUGGAAGCCUGUAAUUCUUAGUGGCGGACGGGUGAGUAACGCGUGGGCAACCUGCCCUAUACAGGGGGAUAGCAGCUGGAAACGGCUAGUAAGACCGCAUAAGUCGGUUAAAUCGCAUGAUUUGAUCGGGAAAUGAGCAAUCAGGUAUAGGAUGGGCCCGCGUCCGAUUAGCCAGUUGGCAGGGUAAAAGCCUACCAAAGCGACGAUCGGUAGCCGGACUGAGAGGUCGGACGGCCACAUUGGGACUGAGACACGGCCCAAACUCCUACGGGAGGCAGCAGUGGGGGAUAUUGCACAAUGGAGGAAACUCUGAUGCAGCGACGCCGCGUGAGUGAAGAAGUAUUUCGGUAUGUAAAGCUCUAUCAGCAGGGAGGAUGAUGACGGUACCUGACUAAGAAGCCCCGGCUAACUACGUG